GAAGGGCUAUUUAUGGCGAUGAAGGAGGCCGAAAAGAGGAAUUCAAAUCAGAAAAUACUGGUACAGAACUAAAGGAAAUCAUGGAGAAAGCAGACCUGAGAAAGUUCUUGAAGAUUGUUUGGGUCAUCCUUGUAAGCAAACUGUUCGUGGAUGGAACUCUGGUGACGCGUCUGGGAUAUGAUAUCGAGGAUGGAAAGGAGUUGCGGCAGACAGCUGUCAGCGACCAGAGAAGCA